UGAAGACAAAGGCUAAUUCUGAAAACAAAUGGUAUUAAGUACCUCCACAUUGAAGGAAGGAAUAUUUAGAGGUUCAGAAGAGGAAGCAGAGACUUCAAAUCCAAAGAAGCUAGGAACCCUCAAUCCCAAGGGAGAAAACAGAGCUAAAACACUAACAGGAAGAAGCAGAGAGAGCGCCCUCACUGGAACCCAACUGUGCUGGCACCCUGAUGUCAUACUUCCCAGCCUUGAGAACUGAGAGAAAUAAAGGUCUUUUUUUU